rnacentral:rRNA from 1 species
AUUGAACGCUGGCGGAAUGCUUUACACAUGCAAGUCGAACGGUAACAGGUUAAGCUGACGAGUGGCGAACGGGUGAGGAAUACAUCGGAACGUGCCCAGUCGUGGGGGAUAACGUAGAGAAAUUUACGCUAAUACCGCAUACGAUCUAAGGAUGAAAGCGGGGGACCGUAAGGCCUCGCGCGAUUGGAGCGGCCGAUUUCAGAUUAGGUAGUUGGUGGGGUAAGGCCUACCAAGCCGACGAUCUGUAGCUGGUCUGAGAGGACGACCAGCCACACUGCGACUUAGACACGGCCCAGACUCCUACGGGAGGCAGCAGUGGGGAAUUUUGGACAAUGGGCGAAAGCCUGAUCCAGCCAUUCCGCGUGCAGGAUGAAGGCCCUCGGGUUGUAGACUGCUUUUGUACAGAACGAAAAGGUCUGGGUUAAUACCCUGGGCUCAUGACGGUACUGUAAGAAUAAGCACCGGCUAACUACGUGCCAGCCGCCGCCGUAA